UUCGCCCUUUUCCGGUUGAUCCUGCCGGACCCGACUGCUAUCAGAGUGAGAUUAAGCCAUGCGAGUUAACGUAGCAAUACGUGGCGCACGGCUCAGUAACACGUAGUCAACAUGCCCAGAGGACGUGGAUAACCUCGGGAAACUGAGUCUAAACCGCGAUAAGUGAGGAUUUCUGGAAUGGAUCCUGACUAAAAUCUAUAUGGCCUCUGGAUUGGACUGCGGCCGAUCAGGCUGUUGGUGAGGUAAUGGCCCACCAAACCUGUAACCGGUACGGGCUCUGAGAGGAGGAGCCCGGAGAUGGGCACUGAGACAAGGGCCCAGGCCCUAUGGGGCGCAGCAGGCGCGAAACCUCUGCAAUAGGCGAAAGCCUGACAGGGUUACUCUGAGUGACUUUCGCUAAGAAAGUCUUUUGGCACCUCUAAAAAGGGUGUAGAAUAAGGGGUGGGCAAGUCUGGUGUCAGCCGCCGCGGUAAUACCAGCACCCCGAGUGGUCGGGACGAUUAUUGGGCCUAAAGCAUCCGUAGCCGGUUCGGCAAGUCCUCCGUUAAAUCCAGCUGCUCAACAGAUGGGCCGCGGAGGAUACUACAGAGCUAGGAGGCAGGAGAGGCAAGCGGUACUCAGUGGGUAGGGGUAAAAUCCGUUGAUCCAUUGA
rnacentral:rRNA from 1 species